AGAGUUUGAUCCUGGCUCAGAAUGAACGCUGGCGGCAUGCCUAACACAUGCAAGUCGAACGAAGGCUUCGGCCUUAGUGGCGCACGGGUGCGUAACGCGUGGGAAUCUGCCCUUGGGUUCGGAAUAACAGUUAGAAAUGACUGCUAAUACCGGAUGAUGUCGUAAGACCAAAGAUUUAUCGCCCAAGGAUGAGCCCGCGUAGGAUUAGCUAGUUGGUGAGGUAAAAGCUCACCAAGGCGACGAUCCUUAGCUGGUCUGAGAGGAUGAUCAGCCACACUGGGACUGAGACACGGCCCAGACUCCUACGGGAGGCAGCAGUGGGGAAUAUUGGACAAUGGGCGAAAGCCUGAUCCAGCAAUGCCGCGUGAGUGAUGAAGGCCUUAGGGUUGUAAAGCUCUUUUACCCGGGAUGAUAAUGACAGUACCGGGAGAAUAAGCCCCGGCUAACUCCGUGCCAGCAGCCGCGGUAAUACGGAGGGGGCUAGCGUUAUUCGGAAUUACUGGGCGUAAAGCGCACGUAGGCGGCUUUGUAAGUUAGAGGUGAAAGCCCAGAGCUCAACUCUGGAAUUGCCUUUAAGACUGCAUCGCUUGAAUCAUGGAGAGGUGAGUGGAAUUCCGAGUGUAGAGGUGAAAUUCGUAGAUAUUCGGAAG
rnacentral:rRNA from 1 species